CAGUAAAAAAAAAUAACAGGAGGCGAGAGGGACCUGGCUCAUGCUGGGUUUGCUGCUGCUGGCAACACAGAGAUGGAUGGAGAGGAGAAAAGAAAGGAAAAGGACAGGCAGGAAAAGGCAAGGAGAGCGGAGGGAGCCGAAGAGAGACAGCAACAGCAAGGAAGACCAAGUCACGGCUGGAAAACUGGUUCCGGGGCACGCUGGUGCUCGGGGAAAUUCCCAGCCUUGUGCUCGCCGUUACGUACACGGAUGCAGUGGACUUCUAGCUCGGGGAGUGAAAAGUGACUCACAGUUUUGGUAUCUGCUACGUAAGAGCAUUGGGGGGAUUCCUUGGCUCGCUGACAGGAAAGGAAGAAAGCAGCAGCAGUGAGGUAAAACACGAUCCUUCCUCCUGCCUUCCUGGGAAUAUGCAGCCGCCCGGGCUGACUUGAGCAGCUCGCUGCUUCUUUAUGGUAUGCAAAAAGGAGCAUAAUUAAAAGGGCCAGCAACAUUUGCAAAUCAAAGCCUGGAAAUUCAUUAAUGAGAAGGGAAGGUAGAGCUUCACGGAGCGGUCAUGAAAACGAACGGUCUCUUUAAACACGGGGAUAGCCAAAGGAGGGGACUUACAGUACUGGGACCAGAAAAAAGAAAGAAGAGAAAAAGCUGACAGCCUGGGAAACGUCUGGACGCCCGCGUCCGUUCUGGCAGUCGCCCGAGUACGACUGUGCCGUGCGCAUGACAAUGUCGCGGUAACACCGUCCUAUAAAACACAGAAGGGGAUGUCGAAAUACAGCGAGGAGGGAAACGCUCGAUUGUUCCUGCUCUAGCUGCUGUGAAUGCCAUUAUCUUCAUCACCACUCUUCCUCCUCUUCUAUUUUUAAUUAGAAAUAAGUUUUAGCUGCUGCAAAUGUCCAACGAUUCUCCCUAAAUCAUCCGGUCACAUGCACAGCUUGCCUUUGGUUUUGAAAUAAGCAUUCAUCUUGUGCACAAAACGGUCAGGGCAUCCCCUGAAGGAAGGAAAUGCUUUUAUGUUGAUCGAUGCUGAGCACCAGGUGAAGGCAGGGCUCCCAUACCGAUGGGUGCAUCGGCGCCGGGGAGCGGGCACGGCCACAGCCACGGUGCCGGCCCCGACUCAGUGCUACGUGCAGCAACAUUUCUCUCGUGCCCCUUUUAUUUUUCAAAUAAAUAAUCCCACGAUUCCCCCCCUGGAAACUGCCACGUUGUGAAAGAGGAGAAGCAGGCUCCAUCCCUGCACGGCCUUUUAUAAUAAGUAGGGGCAAACCCAGACAUAAUCCCUGAAACCAGUGAUGGUUUAUUGGAGGGGGGGAGGAUGAGACGGUCAAAGAGGCAAGGCCUAUAUUUCUGCUAGGACAGGGGUUCGUACAAGACACCAAUGCACAGGAGGAAGCAGUCGGCCCCAAGCUGCCCUUGUCCGUCUGUCCCUGCCUCAGGCUCGCGUCUCUCUAGCGCGCGGACCGUUUGGUCAGCCCAGCGAUGCCCCCGACGCUCACAUCCGAGUGAAGGAAUCCGAUAGCGCAUCUCCCAAAACGCCGCCGUUGCACGAACCUCGCAACGUCAAAGUAACCCCAAUACAUUACAUGGCAAGGAAGCAGGGAUGUUUGGGAGGGUGAGAAAGAAAAUGUGUCCAUUUCCCAGAAAAAGCCACAGCAUUUGGCUGACUUUCAGAGCCCCGAUUAGAUGCUGUCCCACGUCGCUAUUGGCAAGGCUGGCUCGUACGAGGGAACGCCGAUGCGAGCAUCUGAGACGCCCCGCUGCUAUGAAUCGGUGUAAGCCCACUGGAACAACGUCCUCCUACACAGGCUGAGGAUCUGUGUUUGAAACGUGUUUUAAGUACCUGAAACUUUAAGAGAAGCGAGGAUUUCUGUGGGUGAGGUCUUUUAUCGGACCAGCUCUGAAUUAGUUAGUCUGUAAGGGCCUUCUCAGCUACACAUAGAUAAGCUUUCGGGUACACGGUACUCGUGCUUCAGGUCUCUGGGAAGGAAGCUGACAUAGCGGAGCUAAGUAGCUAGAUUUUUAAAUGUUUUAUCUACACAUUAAUUGGCACAUUAUGAUUUCCCAGAGACAAAGAAAAAUAUCUCAGGUUGAAGAAAAAUUCAGGUUGCUAACAGCUGUCUACGCACCUGUGCACCUUCCGAGUCUAAGGGGAUGCACUUAUAUCUUACAAAAAGUCCCCCUAAAACAGCAACCCCCCCUUUUAUUAUUUCAUGACUAGUCUGGACAGUGUGGAAAAGGCUUUAUUUAGUAUUGUCCCACCUGCUUCAGACGUUUCGUUACAGACCUAAAGGUUACUGAGUUUCCUGCGGCCUCCACAAGUGUCCUGUACCAUUUGCCACGAUAUACUUUGUAAGGCUACGCAGAUCCGAGAUGCCAACAGAUAUCACUAUGUCUGUCUCAGCUGCCGUGUGCUCCAAGGUAGUCCCUUUGUCUCACCGCCUUCUUCAGUAGUGGAAAAAAUGGUAAAAAGUUCCUUGCAACAGGUAUCAAUUAUACACCACUGCCGGUAGACCCUGACGUUGGUUAAACACCGAAAUAAAAUAUAAGAAUGCAGUUUUGGUGUGUGUUGUGGCCAUUAUCAAACCAGAGGGUAAUAUUUUGUUUGAGAUGUUCAUCUUCUUGUUUAAUCCUAGCUGAUGAAUGGCCAAGCCAGGCUGCAAGUAAAACCUAUCAUCAUGUAAAAAAAAUAAAAUAAAAUCCUCCGGGUCUUUU